rnacentral:rRNA from 1 species
UCCAGACUCCUACGGGAGGCAGCAGUGGGGGAUAUUGCACAAUGGGGGGAACCCUGAUGCAGCGACGCCGCGUGGGUGAAGGAGCGUUUCGGCGCGUAAAGCCCUAUCGGCAGGGAAGAAGGAGGACGGUACCUGACUAAGAAGCCCCGGCUAACUACGUGCCAGCAGCCGCGGUAAUACGUAGGGGGCAAGCGUUAUCCGGAUUUACUGGGUGUAAAGGGGGCGCAGACGGCAGCGCAAGCCAGGAGUGAAAGCCCGGGGCCCAACCCCGGGACUGCUCUUGGAACUGCGCGGCUGGAGUGCAGGAGGGGCAGGCGGAAUUCCUGGUGUAGCGGUGAAAUGCGUAGAUAUCAGGAGGAACACCGGUGGCGAAGGCGGCCUGCUGGACUGCGCCUGACGUUGAGGCCCGAAAGCGUGGGGAGCAAACAGGAUUAGAUACCCGGGUAU